UUUGUUCCAGUCAUUUAUUUUGUAUCAUGGUAUUUCAGAGCAGUGAAUACAGAUGGUUGGCUCUUCUAGGCUUCAAUACACUCAACUAUUGUGCCUAGACUACAGUGGUCUGUUUACUGAAGCUGUAUUUCAUAAGUUGUACUUGAUCACAGCACAAAAGUCCUUUACGGCUAGAUCUAAUGACAGAGUUAGGAGCCUAGUGGGUUCUAAGUCUGGUAUUUAGGUGCCUAAGCCCUGUAAUGGACAUGGCACCCACUGAAGUGCCUGGACUCCUGUUACAGGGGUCAGAGAGACUUAAGCAGCUCUGAAGGGUGAUGCAGGAACCUGUCUACCGAGCUCUUCCUACAGGUCACAGGAAAUUCUGCUGCACAGGUGAGAGCUUCUGAAAAGCCAUCUCUCCCUGGGGUCCAGACACAGCCGGCUUGGGAGUGAGUCUGUAAAAGUGUUGAAAGCAAGUGCCUACAACUGCUUGUUGAGUAAGCAGCGCCUAAAUCAGUUCUUGGAUCUAGCCCAGGGCUUUGUGAUAGGCCUCUGGGUACCAGCGGGUUGAACUAUGCUGGGUUUGUAACAUAUUGCUUAAAGGUUUUCAACUAUAAAUUUAUAAAUUUUAUAUCAACAGUCAGAUCUUUCAAAUGAAUAUUGCUUUUUUUAAAAAAAACCCUAUUCCUGUAGCAAUCCCUGAAAUAAUGUUCCUGUAACAUCUUUGUCAUGCAAAUAGCAGCGUGUAGGCAAUUCAAAUAGAAAGUAAUCAAAAGUCUGUCCAGUGGGAAAGUGAGGCACUUAGGCAAAGUGACGGUAGUCACUCGUGAUCUAUGCAAGACCUAGGAACAAUCCCCAGACCUGAUUCCCUUUCUUGAGCUUGAACCACUGGACAGGCAAAUGUCUGGAACUACUGCACGACGGCAGCAAUACCUUUGCUGUGUCAAGAUGGGCUUGUUUCAUGUGUCAUGCUUAAACUCACUCACUUGUCUGAGCUCAUUUCCUGUACCUCUCACUCCAGAAGCUAGAAUAACUUGGUUCCAGUUCUCCGUUUUGAGAGCAAGGAUGGAUUAGAGUAAGGUAAGCAUUCUAAAAACAUCAAGUUGACUUUUCACAGACACAGGUGCAAUGCAAAGACAAUGCAGAUGAUGUUUUGGUACAGAAAAUACAGUCUGUUAAGGAGGCCAUCUGUUGGUACUGCGUUAUACUUUUUGGUGUGCCGGGUGGUGUGUCCUUGGAGCAAUCUGGCUUUCC
rnacentral:lncRNA from 1 species